rnacentral:rRNA from 1 species
UUUCCCUCUGCUUCGAGCAGAUAAGAUCCCUCAGAGACGAUGAGGUUGAUAGGUCCGAGGUGGAAGCGUGGUGACACGUGGAGCUGACGGAUACUAAUGGAUCGAUGACUUAUCUAU